rnacentral:tRNA from 1 species
GAUUAAAUGGCUGAAGUUUAGGCGAUAAAUUGUAAAUUUAUUUAUGGGAAAUGUUCUCUUUAAUCA